AAAGAAAGUAAGCAAGGGCGCAUGGCGGAUGCCUUGGCUCUCGGAGGCGAUGAAGGACGUGAUAAGCUGCGAUAAGCUCGGGUAGGUGCAAAUAACCUUUGAUCCGAAGAUUUCCGAAUGGGACAACCCGUCAUUCUGAAGGAAUGACAUCUUGCAUAGCAAGAGGCUAACGCAGGGAACUGAAAC
rnacentral:rRNA from 1 species